GACGAACGCUGGCGGCGUGCUUAACACAUGCAAGUCGAACGGAAAGGCCCUGCUUUUGUGGGGUGCUCGAGUGGCGAACGGGUGAGUAACACGUGAGUAACCUGCCCUUGACUUUGGGAUAACUUCAGGAAACUGGGGCUAAUACCGGAUAGGAGCUCCUGCUGCAUGGUGGGGGUUGGAAAGUUUCGGCGGUAGGGGAUGGACUCGCGGCUUAUCAGCUUGUUGGUGGGGUAGUGGCUUACCAAGGCUUUGACGGGUAGCCGGCAUGAGAGGGUGACCGGCCACAUUGCGCCUGAGAUACGGCCCAGACUCCUACGGGCGGCAGCAGUGGGGAAUAUUGCACAAUGGGCGGAAGCCUGAUGCAGCAACGCCGCGUGCGGGAUGACGGCUUUCGGGUUGUAAACCGCUUUCGCAUGUGACGAAGCGUGAGUGACGGUAAUGGGUAAAGAAGUACCGGCUAACUACGUG
rnacentral:rRNA from 1 species